rnacentral:rRNA from 1 species
AUUGAACGCUGGCGGCAUGCUUUACACAUGCAAGUCGAACGGUAACAGGUCUUCGGAUGCUGACGAGUGGCGAACGGGUGAGUAAUGUAUCGGAACGUGCCCAGUAGUGGGGGAUAACUACUCGAAAGAGUGGCUAAUACCGCAUGAGAACUGAGGUUGAAAGCGGGGGACCUUCGGGCCUCGCGCUACUGGAGCGGCCGAUAUCAGAUUAGGUAGUUGGUGGGGUAAAGGCCUACCAAGCCGACGAUCUGUAGCUGGUCUGAGAGGACGACCAGCCACACUGGGACUGAGACACGGCCCAGACUCCUACGGGAGGCAGCAGUGGGGAAUUUUGGACAAUGGACGCAAGUCUGAUCCAGCAAUGCCGCGUGCAGGACGAAGGCCUCGGUUGUAACGUAGCUUUUGUACUAGAACGAAAAGGACUCUGGUUAAUACCUGGGGCUCGAUGACGGUACUGUAAGAAUAAGCACCGGCUAACUACGUGCCAGCAGCCGCGGUAAAG